GAUGAACGCUGGCGGCGUGCCUAAUACAUGCAAGUCGAGCGAACGGACGAGAAGCUUGCUUUUCUGAUGUUAGCGGCGGACGGGUGAGUAACACGUGGAUAACCUACCUAUAAGACUGGGAUAACUUCGGGAAACCGGAGCUAAUACCGGAUAAUAUUUUGAACCGCAUGGUUCAAACGUGAAAGACGGUCUUGCUGUCACUUAUAGAUGGAUCCGCGCUGCAUUAGCUAGUUGGUAAGGUAACGGCUUACCAAGGCAACGAUGCAUAGCCGAACUGAGAGGGUGAUCGGCCACAAUGGAACUGAGACACGGUCAAGACUCCUGCGGGAGGCAGCAGUAGGGAAUCUUCCGCGAUGGGCGAAAGCCUGACGGAGCAACGACGCGUGAGUGAUGAAGGUCUUCGGAUCGUAAACCUCUGUUAUGAGGGAAGACCAUAUGUGUAAGUACCUGUGCACAUCUUGACGGUACAUAAUGAGAAAGCCACGGCUAACUACGUG
rnacentral:rRNA from 1 species